rnacentral:rRNA from 1 species
UACGUAGGGUGCAAGCGUUAAUCGGAAUACUGGGCGUAAAGCGUGCGCAGGCGGUUUUGUAAGUCUGACGUGAAAUCCCCGGGCUUAACCUGGGAAUGGCGUUGGAGACUGCAAGGCUGGAAUCUGGCAGAGGGGGGUAGAAUUCCACGUGUAGCAGUGAAAUGCGUAGAGAUGUGGAGGAACACCGAUGGCGAAGGCAGCCCCCUGGGCUAAGAUUGACGCUCAUGCACGAAAGCGUGGGGAGCAAACAGG